GUGGGGAAUCUUAGACAAUGGGCGCAAGCCUGAUCUAGCCAUGCCGCGUGAGCGAUGAAGGCCUUAGGGUUGUAAAGCUCUUUCAGCUGGGAAGAUAAUGACGGUACCAGCAGAAGAAGCCCCGGCUAACUCCGUGCCAGCAGCCGCGGUAAUACGGAGGGGGCUAGCGUUGUUCGGAAUUACUAGGCGUAAAGCGCACGUAGGCGGAUCAGAAAGUCAGAGGUGAAAUCCCAGGGCUCAACCUUGGAACUGCCUUUGAAACUCCUGAUCUUGAGGUCGAGAGAGGUGAGUGGAAUUCCGAGUGUAGAGGUGAAAUUCGUAGAUAUUCGGAGGAACACCAGUGGCGAAGGCGGCUCACUGGCUCGAUACUGACGCUGAGGUGCGAAAGCGUGGGGAGCAAACAGGAUUAGAAACCCUGGUAGUCC
rnacentral:rRNA from 1 species